rnacentral:rRNA from 1 species
UAUACGGGGGAYGCAAGCGUUAUCCGGAAUCAUUGGGCGUAAAGCGCCUGUAGGUUGUUUAAUAAGUCCGUUGUUAAAGACUAGGGCUUAACCCUAGAAAAGCAAUGGAAACUAUUAGACUAGAGUAUGGCAGGGGUAGAGGGAAUUUCUAGUGUAGCGGUGAAAUGCGUAGAUAUUAGAAAGAACACCGGCGGCGAAAGCGCUCUACUGGACCAUUACUGACACUCAGAGGCGAAAGCUAGGGUAGCAAAAGGGAUUAGAUACCCCUGUAGUCCUAGCCGUAAACGAUGGAUACUAGAUGUUGUGCUUUAUGUACAGUAUCGUAGCUAACGCGUUAAGUAUCCCGCCUGGGGAGUACGCUCGCAAGGGUGAAACUCAAAGGAAUUGACGGGGGCCCGCACAAGCGGUGGAGCAUGUGGUUUAAUUCGAUGCAACGCGAAGAACCUUACCAGGGCUUGACAUACUACGAAUUCUCUUGAAAAAGAGAAGUGCCUUCGGGAAUGUAGAUACAGGUGGUGCAUGGCUGUCGUCAGCUCGUGUCGUGAGAUGUUGGGUUAAGUCCCGCAACGAGCGCAACCCUUAUUUUUAGUUACUAAUUCGUUAGGUUCUCUAGAAAGACUGCCGGUGACAAACCGGAGGAAGGUGAGGAUGACGUCAAGUCAGCAUGCCCCUUAUGUCCUGGGCUACACACGUGCUACAAUGGUUAAGACAAAGAGUCGCGAGCUUGUAAAAGUCAGCUAAUCUCAUAAACUUAGCCUAAGUUCAGAUU